UAGGGAAUCUUCGGCAAUGGGGGGAACCCUGACCGAGCAACGCCGCGUGAGUGAAGAAGGUUUUCGGAUCGUAAAGCUCUGUUGUUAAGGAAGAACGAGUGUGAGAAUGGAAAGUUCAUACUGUGACGGUACUUAACCAGAAAGGGACGGCUAACUACGUGCCAGCAGCCGCGGUAAUACGUAGGUCCCGAGCGUUGUCCGGAUUUAUUGGGCGUAAAGCGAGCGCAGGCGGUUAGAUAAGUCUGAAGUUAAAGGCAGUGGCUCAACCAUUGUAGGCUUUGGAAACUGUUUAACUUGAGUGCAGAAGAGGAGAGUGGAAUUCCAUGUGUAGCGGUGAAAUGCGUAGAUAUAUGGAGGAACACCAGUGGCGAAGGCGACUCUCUGGUCUGUAACUGACGCUGAGGUUCGAAAGCGUGGGUAGCAAACAGG
rnacentral:rRNA from 1 species